rnacentral:rRNA from 1 species
UGGUGGAGUGAUUUGUCUGGUUAAUUCCGUUAACGAACGAGACCCCCGCCUGCUAAUUAGUUUGGUUAAUGCUUCGCAUUGAUUCAAGCUUCUUAGAGGGACUUGCGGUGACUAACCGAAGGAAGUUGGGGCAAUAACA